rfam:Thalassomonas actiniarum strain A5K-106 contig_29, whole genome shotgun sequence.
CAAAAAAGCGUCUGGUUGAGUAUCCUAACGGGCUUUUCAACCAAUGAAAUUUUAAUUUGAAUAGGAGAUGUGUUAGUGGCCCGUAUCGCUGGCAUUAACAUCCCUGAU